GACGAACGCUGGCGGCGUGCCUAAUACAUGCAAGUCGAACGCAGUGGGGACGGGUGAGUAACACGUGGGUAACCUACCAUCAGAGGGGAUAACACUUGGAAACAGGUGCUAAACCGAUACUGAUGGAUGGAACCGGGGUGCAUUAGCUAGUUGGGGUGGUAACGGCUCACCAAGGCCACAAUGCAUAGCCGACCUGAGACGAUGAUCGUCCCUACUGGGAUUUAUACACGGCCCUGACUCAUACGGGAGGCAGCUGUAGGGAAUCUUGGGCAAGGUACAGAAGUCUGACCGAGCAACGCCGCGUGAGUGAAGAAGGUUUUCGGAUCGUAAAACUCUGUUGUCAGAGAAGCGGUAUCCAACCAGAAAGCCACGGCUAACUACGUGCCAGCAGCCGCGGUAAUAC
rnacentral:rRNA from 1 species